rnacentral:rRNA from 1 species
CUACGGGCGGCAGCAGUGGGGAAUAUUGCACAAUGGAGGAAACUCUGAUGCAGCAACGCCGCGUGGAGGAUGACACUUUUCGGAGCGUAAACUCCUUUUAUAUAGGAAGAAGAUGACGGUACUAUAUGAAUAAGCGCCGGCUAACUCCGUGCCAGCAGCCGCGGUAAUACGGAGGGCGCAAGCGUUACUCGGAAUCACUGGGCGUAAAGAGCGUGUAGGCGGAUUAAAAAGUCAGAAGUGAAAUCCUAUAGCUUAACUAUAGAACUGCUUCUGAAACUCUUAAUCUAGAAUAUGGGAGAGGUAGAUGGAAUUUCUGGUGUAGGGGUAAAAUCCGUAGAGAUCAGAAGGAAUACCGAUUGCGAAGGCGAUCUACUAGAACAUUAUUGACGCUGAGACGCGAAAGCGUGGGGAGUAAACACGAUUAGAUACCCCCGUAGUC